CCUACGGGUGACAGCAGUCGAGAAUCAUUCACAAUGGGGGAAACCCUGAUGGUGCGACGCCGCGUGGGGGAAUGAAGGUCUUCGGAUUGUAAACCCCUGUCAUGUGGGAGCAAAUUAAAAAGAUAGUACCACAAGAGGAAGAGACGGCUAACUCUGUGCCAGCAGCCGCGGUAAUACAGAGGUCUCAAGCGUUGUUUGGAAUCACUGGGCGUAAGGCGUGCGGAGGCUGUUUCGUAAGUCGUGUGUGAAAGGCGCGGGCUCAACCCGCGGACGGCACAUGAUACUGCGAGACUAGAGUAAUGGAGGGGGAACCGGAAUUCUCGGUGUAGCAGUGAAAUGCGUAGAUAUCGAGAGGAACACUCGUGGCGAAGGCGGGUUCCUGGACAUUAACUGACGCUGAGGCACGAAGGCCAGGGGAGCGAAAGGGAUUAGAUACCCUUGUAGUC
rnacentral:rRNA from 1 species